UCUCCUAGGUCUUCGGCGUCCCUCAACCUCCCUCCCGUUUUCUCUCUCCUUCCUCUUCAUCUUCUUCGAUCUUCUUCCUCUAAUCCUCUUCCACCAAACCCUCCGCCUUUCGCCUUUCGCCUUCGCCACCGCCACCGCCACCGCCAUCACCAUCACCAUCACCAUCAACGUCUAAUCUUCUGGAGAUCCGGGUGAGAUAACUCGCCGCUUUUCAGUUCUAUUCUCUUAAAGAUUUGGUAAAUUCGGAUUAAAACUUAUGUUCUUAUUCGUUUGAUCUUUGUGUUAUUGAGGUUUUUUAAUCAUCAAUUGGUUGAGAUGGAGAUGGAGAAGGAGGCGGCAUCGGUCGGCCCUUUUCACGUUGAAUCUCUUCAAAAAUCAAAACCCUCAUCAUCAUCUAACCAAAGGAGGCGGCAUCGGUCGAUUAAUUAGGGUUUCAAAACCCUCACGUUGAUUUUUUUUGGGUGAAGUUUUUACUGAGGCGAUGGCUUCUUCAUCAGACUUGAAUUCCCAAUUGUGUCGGAGUUAGAGGGUCAGAUCCAAUACGCUGAGAAUUACUUUGAUGAUACUUACGAAUACAGUAAUUGGAAGCAGAGGUUUCAGGGGUUUAUUUCAGUAAUUUCAGUCAACUCCAUCAAUUCCAUGGAAGUAGCCAACAACUCCAUCAAUUCCUCUCCACCAAACCAAAGGAUCAACGGGUGCAGCAUUAAGUCUUCUUGAUGCUGGUAAUUGAAACCCUAAUUGUUGGCCUUCUAUUUUCACGCUUGGUAAUAACAUAGAUCAGUGACAUUCUCGAGAGGAAGCAAUCUCAUAAUGCACAACACACACAAGGUCUUCUUGCUCUUAAGUUAGUGUAAUAUUUUGACUGAGUAAAGUCUGAUUGUCUGAUUUUCUUGGUAUAGAACCAAAUAACACAUUUUUGUCAGCAAUUUUGUGAAUGUUGAUUCCAUUUUUGGUCCAGUGUGUAUUUUAUCUUCAAUUCAAUUUCGUAUUAACUUAUUUGCAAGUUUCUUGAAGUUUGAUGUCGCAUAUAUUUCUUCGUUGUCAUUUCUGUAUAUUUGUAGUUGAUUGUGAUCUUCCAGCCAAACCUAUGAUUAAGGCUGUGUU